rnacentral:rRNA from 1 species
AUGGGCGAAAGCCUGAUGCAGCGACGCCGCGUGAGGGAUGACGGCCUUCGGGUUGUAAACCUCUUUCAGCAGGGACGAAGCGAAAGUGACGGUACCUGCAGAAGAAGCACCGGCCAACUACGUGCCAGCAGCCGCGGUAAUACGUAGGGUGCGAGCGUUGUCCGGAAUUACUGGGCGUAAAGAGCUCGUAGGCGGUUUGUCGCGUCGUCUGUGAAAACCAGCAGCUCAACUGCUGGCUUGCAGGCGAUACGGGCAGACUUGAGUACUGCAGGGGAGACUGGAAUUCCUGGUGUAGCGGUGAAAUGCGCAGAUAUCAGGAGGAACACCGGUGGCGAAGGCGGGUCUCUGGGCAGUAACUGACGCUGAGGAGCGAAAGCGUGGGUAGCGAACAGGAUUAGAUACCCUGGUAGUCCACGCCGUAAACGGUGGGCGCUAGGUGUGGGUUUCCUUCCACGGGAUCCGUGCCGUAGCUAACGCAUUAAGCGCCCCGCCUGGGGAGUACGGCCGCAAGGCUAAAACUCAAAGGAAUUGACGGGGGCCCGCACAAGCGGCGGAGCAUGUGGAUUAAUUCGAUGCAACGCGAAGAACCUUACCUGGGUUUGACAUAUACCGGAAAGCCGUAGAGAUACGGCCCCCCUUGUGGUCGGUAUACAGGUGGUGCAUGGCUGUCGUCAGCUCGUGUCGUGAGAUGUUGGGUUAAGUCCCGCAACGAGCGCAACCCUUGUCCUGUGUUGCCAGCGCGUAAUGGCGGGGACUCGCAGGAGACUGCCGGGGUCAACUCGGAGGAAGGUGGGGACGACGUCAAGUCAUCAUGCCCCUUAUGUCCAGGGCUUCACACAUGCUACAAUGGCCGGUACAGAGGGCUGCGAUACCGUGAGGUGGAGCGAAUCCCUUAAAGCCGGUCUCAGUUCGGAUCGGGGUCUGCAACUCGACCCCGUGAAGUCGGAGUCGCUAGUAAUCGCAGAUCAGCAACGCUGCGGUGAAUACGUUCCCGGGCCUUGUACACACCGCCCGUCACGUCAUGAAAGUCGGUAACACCCGAAGCCGGU